CACGGACACAGGCAUCUCCCCAGUACCUACGACCCCAACUCCCUCCAGCGCCGUCACCACCGCCCCCUCUUCUGCGACCACCACGCCGUCCGCGCCGCCCUAAAGCACGCUGCUCCUUUCCCUUCCCAAGCCGCCCUGGAUCUGGCGAUGGAGGUGGCCGCCGUCGUGGCCAUGGAGGUCUCGCUAGCUGCCUUCGAAGUCCUACAUCCCCGAUAACGGCGGGAUUGCAGCCGCCUGGCCAAGGUCGUCGGCCCUCGACGAGCUCCUCCAUAACUUCUGGUUCCCCACAGUGCCUAUGGGCCGCCUCUCCCUCUCCAUCCUACGCUCCUCCUUCUCCACUUCAGAUUUCGGCUGAAAAUCGCCUCUCCCUAUUCCCCUUCCAAUCUGGAGCACAGGCGGAGAGCCUGGUUGUGUGCGGCGGAGAUGGCGCCCCGCCUCUGCGCCUCAUAAGGCUGGACGUAGCUCCGCCGAGGCCAUGACUUUUCCAGCGGAGGAUCACAGGUGUACUGCAUGCAGUUUCAAUUUAACCAGGCAGUUGCCAUCAUCGUGAGACUUGCCAACUUGAGGAACUACAACGAUUCUUUGUUCCAGCCAUAUCCGAUCCACUGGGCCGGAGCUUUCACAUCACCUACAACGCACGGUGCUCGCGGCGCGCCGUUGGCGCCAGCCUCAUUGCCGCACUCCCGGAACCCCUCAAGCAGCUCAUGCUCGUUCGGUCAUGCAGGACGGCGCUGUAGCACUAUCGUUGGAUGUGAAUCGCUUCAAAACCGGAAGCAGCAUGCGCGCUGAUGUGGCGUGUUUCCUCCUUUGCUACACUCUGAUUGACUGAUGGUUAGAUGGUUGAUGUUGCAGUCUGAUGAGGCCUAGCGGGUGUGGCUUCUGCUGAAAUUUUUUACACCAGCAGCUCCUGGUGAGUUUGAUCCCCUGAGUCAUUAUAGAGGAAGUGAGAAUGUCAGAAAGGAGAAGAAGAAAAAACCUUGCUGCCGGGGAUGACAUCCACACCAUUUUGUGUGUGUUGGUGGAGUGAUUGAACCAUGGCAAUCAGAGCUGACAUCACAUCUCCCUUCCUCAUACACACUUUUUGGGUAGUUGUGCAUCUAUAUUCCAUUCUACACACCAAGAAAUUAUGUUAUUUUUCUUUUACUGAAGCAGUUACGAUUUAGUAGUACAUUGUUAUCAUUCUCAACAAAUUCAUACAUGACACCUUUGAUAAGGAAGAACUUUCAGCGAUUGAGUUACUUUAUUCAACUUUAUGUUUUUCAGGAGGGGAGUCCGGGAGGUGGGACAGCCGGCAGCGGCGCCAUUCUGUUUGGGGAUGCUUGGAUCUGGUGAUGCUGGAGCAUGGGAACGGGAAACAUCACCUCAGCUAUGGAAUUUCAAAUAGCCAAUUUACCUUUCUCCCUCAAGAUUUCUUACACUUCUGUCAGUAUCAUUGCUCUUGGGGUCUAGAUUUUGUCAAUAUCAAAAUCUGGGUACUUACCAGCAAACGGUUUGUUGAUCUAUUUACUUAGUCAAGUUCAUUUCUGCUAUGUUCUUCAGUCAAGCUUUAGAUUCUAGCCUUGAUUAAAUAGCAAUGAUGUUGUCCAAAACCUGCUAAUGUCGGAAAUCCUACUGCCCAGCAGGAUUUCUAGAAUUCUGGUGCAUCUGGUUUCUAUAACAUGGUUUGCCAACCGUGGUGAGCACUGCUCAGUGUGUGGCAGCUUUUCAUUAGGAUUGGAAACAAGAUUUGAGAUAUAGGUGUAGGUCAAAUUUUGCAAAAAUUAUGGGUCUGUAGGUACAAAGUUACAUGUAGGAAAUUUUACAAUUUUCUGAGAGUAAAAAUUCAAGCAUGAAUUUGAAUAUAGUUGCAUGAUUUUUUUGCUGACAAGUUUUCUUAUAUUUACUUCUCUUUCUAUGGUAUAGGAAUUUAUGUGCCUACUUAACUGUUCAAAGAUAUCCGUUUUGUUUGUCGAUUCGAAGUUACCACAUAUAAGCUUGAGUCCAUGUGAACUGACACACAGUUUGGAACAAAAUAAAACUUAAUACUGUAGUACAGUUUGGUGGUUAAACUACUCCUUACCUCGACAUUCUAAUAAUUUGUAAUAAUGAUAGUUGGCAUUGGUCAUCAAGACCGCUUGCAUGAAAUUAGUGGCUUGCUGCUGUUGUACUCUUCAAAAAUUCUGUUGCUUCAGUUUAUUUUACAUUUUUUAAUUUACUGUUUUUUUCGAAACAGAAGUACUAGAGAAUAUUAUUCUACAUUAUUUUCAACCGCUACAUUUUAUCUAUUUGCGGUAUGACUGUAUGGUUCUCAAUCAAAGAAGAGGCCCAACAGUCUCUUUCGGGACUUUUUAUCACCACAUAUAUAAUCUUAUUGAACUAGGAGUCGAGAACUACAAUUCCCCAAAAGAUCAUAUAUGCUUGAUGUGUGUGAACAUAUUGCAGGGAGGCGGUUCCAAUGAUGGCUCGGUUCCUGCACAGCUUCACUAAGAGGCAUAUGCUGUAUGAGAUGUUGUAUUCUCACUUCUUAGACUGUCUGUAAUCUGAUUUGCUCGCUAGGUGCUUGAUAAAAUGCCCAUCCGAGCAAACAAUUUGUUCUGUGCUACCUGAGAGAUGCAAGUUGGAUGUGGAGGACAAUCAUGUACAGCCCUUAGGUUCUAUGGUUAAUCUGCUUAACCUGGGAGGUGGUCAUCAAGUUUGAGAUGGAAAGUGUAGGUGCUAUGUACUGUUUUCAAUGAACCAAUAAAAUGCAUUGGCUAUUUUCUACU